AUUGAACGCUGGCGGCAGGCCUAACACAUGCAAGUCGAGCGGGGCGGCGGACGGGUGAGUAAUGCCUAGGAAUCUGCCUGGUAGAGGGGGAGAACGUCCGGAAACGGGCGCUAAUACCGCAUACUAUCAGAUGAGCCUAGGCCGGAGUAGCUAGGUGGUGGGGUAAAGGCCUCCCAAGGGGACGAUCCGUAACUGGUCUGAGCGGCUGAGCAGUCACACUGGAACUGAGAAACGGUCCGGACUCCUACGGGAGGCAGCAGUGGGGAAUAUUGGACAAUGGGCGAAAGCCUGAUGCAGCCAUGCCGCGUGUGGGAAGAAGGUCUUCGGAUUGUAAAGCACGUUAAGUUGGGAGGCGUUACCAACAGAAUAAGCGCCGGCUAACUUCGUGCCAGCAGCCGCGGUAAUAC
rnacentral:rRNA from 1 species